rnacentral:rRNA from 1 species
GACGAACGCUGGCGGCGUGCUUAACACAUGCAAGUCGAACGGAAAGGCCCUGCUUUUGUGGGGUGCUCGAGUGGCGAACGGGUGAGUAACACGUGAGUAACCUGCCCUUGACUUUGGUAUAACUUCAGGAAACUGGGGCUAAUACCGGAUAGGAGCUCCUGCUGCAUGGUGGGGGUUGGAAAGGUUCGGCGGGUGGGGAUGGACUCGCGGCUUAUCAGCUUGUUGGUGGGGUAGUGGCUUACCAAGGCUUUGACGGGUAGCCGGCCUGAGAGGGUGACCGGCCACAUUGGGACUGAGAUACGGCCCAGACUCCUACGGGAGGCAGCAGUGGGGAAUAUUGCACAAUGGGCGGAAGCCUGAUGCAGCAACGCCGCGUGCGGGAUGACGGCCUUCGGGUUGUAAACCGCUUUCGCCUGUGACGAAGCGUGAGUGACGGUAAUGGGUAAAGAAGCACCGGCUAACUACGUG